rnacentral:rRNA from 1 species
GUGCCAGCCGCCGCGGUAAUACGGAGGGUGCGAGCGUUGUCCGGAAUCACUGGGCGUAAAGGGCGCGUAGGCGGCCGUGUAAGUCACUUGUGAAAUCCCGGGGCUCAACUCCGGGGCUGCAGGUGAGACUGCAUGGCUAGAGCACGGUAGAGGCGAGUGGAAUUCCCGGUGUAGCGGUGGAAUGCGUAGAUAUCGGGAAGAACACCGGUGGCGAAGGCGGCUCGCUGGGCCGUUGCUGACGCUGAGGCGCGAAAGCGUGGGGAGCAAACAGGAUUAGAAACCCCAGUAGUCC